rnacentral:rRNA from 1 species
AGUGAACGCUGGCGGUAGGCCUAACACAUGCAAGUCGAACGGCAGCACAGUAAGAGCUUGCUCUUACGGGUGGCGAGUGGCGGACGGGUGAGGAAUACAUCGGAAUCUACUUUUUCGUGGGGGAUAACGUAGGGAAACUUACGCUAAUACCGCAUACGACCUACGGGUGAAAGCAGGGGAUUUUCGGACCUUGCGCGAUUGAAUGAGCCGAUGUCGGAUUAGCUAGUUGGCGGGGUAAAGGCCCACCAAGGCGACGAUCCGUAACUGGUCUGAGAGGAUGAUCAGCCACACUGGAACUGAGACACGGUCCAGACUCCUACGGGAGGCAGCAGUGGGGAAUAUUGGACAAAGGGCGCAAGCCUGAUCCAGCCAUACCGCGUGGGUGAAGAAGGCCUUCGGGUUGUAAAGCCCUUUUGUUGGGAAAGAAAAGCAGCAGGUUAAUACCCCGCUGUUCUGACGGUACCCAAAGAAUAAGCACCGGCUAACUUCGUG